CUUAUUCCUUGUUUAAACAAACACUUUUUCAAGGCCCUAGAUGAGUAUCUCUAUGAGAGGUUUCACCUAAUUAAAAUGUUUGUUAAAAUUGACCAUAAGAAUCACCCUCUAUUAGAAAAUACCCUGUAUAAUAAACUAAAAGGUGCACAAAUUAAACCAAAUUAUUUUAUAAAAAAAUAUGGCCUGCUGCAUGGGACAUAUUUUCAACAAAUAAAGGACGCCACUGGACAACAGGAUCAUUCAAACCCACCAACAUAAGGGUUGAUUGCUUACAGCAAUUCUCUAUAUAAAUAGAAACCCGGAGCAAAGGUAUUCUUCUAGAAAUGAUUGAAGAGCAUUUUAAAUUUACUACAAAAACUGUACAUACUACACAUAAACAAGAAAAAUGGUUCUCAUGGUAACUUAGGCCUAUCAGAG